rnacentral:tRNA from 1 species
GGACUGUGGCUCAGUGGCAGCGUGUUUGCCUAGCAUGCAUGAGGCACUGGGUUCGAUCCCCAGCACCA